GGAGGAGGAGGAGGAGGAGUAAUAAUAGUCAGGAAUGUAACCUGGGGACGUAGCAGACUCAUUGUUGACCCAUAUCUGGGGCAGGACGCAUGGAAGGAUGUGUGUCAAAUUGUUGGUAGGCUCCAGCCUAAGCCAACUUUGCCGGCCCUUCCCAUCUAUCCACAGGUUGUCUUCUGGCCUUCAUGAAAUGACCAUGGCCCAUGGCUCCUAUUUAUGGCGAAACGAGGCCUGCGUGUGACUUAGAACUCCACUACCGCCUCACAGCCACGGCUCGAAGGGUUUUGCUUCAGCCUUGCCGCCAGCCCUACACCUGGCUUGCUCUGGAGACUUCUGUUCCGAAGAUGAGCUGAGAAAACAGGUUGUUCCACGAGUGUGGCCUGCACCCUCUGAGGUCAUGACCUUCAAGGAGGGAACAGCAGGAAAGGCCUGGACAUCUGUCACAUCCAACAGGUGUCCCACCAAACGGCCAGACAGUACUCCUGCACCCUGGCACUUGGAGCACCCUCAUAUUGUUCACCCUCACAGUAAUAAAGAGGGCUUCUUAACAUGGUUUCCUCAUUAUGAAUUUUGAUGCCACUUGCCUGCAGUCCCAGCUACUUGGGAAACUGAGACUGAAAGAUUGCUUGAGCCCGGGAAUUCCACAUAAGGUAGUGAAAUCCCCUCUCAAAAAAAAAAGCCAAUGUAGACCACUGGAGAUGUGUUCUUGUACACCUGUGCUGGGUACUAGAUGCUGGGUCUCCCCAAAACCUCAAUGUCGUAAUAUCAGA